CGACACGUUCGUUCGGUCUCAUUCGUCGGUGGUGUUUUCGAGGAAGUAAUGUGCAGUUUGGUCCAUAACGGAGACCAUGAGUUGCAGGUAUUCACAAUGCAGCUGGCCCAAUGCAAGCCCAACAAGGGAUGCAUGCAGUCCGGGUUAAUUGAAAGGUUGCUCUGGAAACAUGGACUGGGUGGAUGAUGCUGUCGCCGUUUCUACAUGAAAGAUGGGUUUUUGCUGAAAGCAGUCCAACCUGAUUUGCUACGUGAAGUCUGGCUGUGGAAAUACUGGAGGCGUUUUGGCCAGUUUGCUUCUGGUGCGGUCUGUGAUAAGCAGGGCAAAUGGCCAUUUUACGUCUUCCUUGGUCCAGACAGUCAUCUGGACCCCAUGAUGUCUAGUGUUUGCUCUGGCUAUGUAACAGACCUAAUGUGUCACAUGGAGUUGAGUGCAUCGUGUCCCAGUUACAGGUGGUGCUGACAUGUCGUUGGAGAACCUUAAGGAUGUCCUGUCUUCUGUGGCUUUAGGAUCUAACUGGUUGUUUUUGAUGCAAUUGCUGUAAAGUUCCUCCAAGGGUUUCUUGUCUACUGAUUUCAUGACCAUUGAGCUUGCAUUUCUAUGUUUGUAUCUGGUUCUUUUUUAAUAAACUUUGUAUAAUAUAUAAACUGUUUGUAGAUGUUUGCCAGAUCUCAAUUGUUUUGCUGUUUACGUGAUUUGACUAGUCAAGCUUGCUUCAAGAAAUCUAUAAUCAAGUGCAAUUUAAUUGUAAUUUGUGUAAAUGCAUACAGCUAUGAAUGAUUAAAGUACAAAUGACUCCACCCCAGACAAAGUGAGGGGUAGAAUGUAAGAUUGUACUAAAAGCUUGAUACAUGCAAACUUUAUUUUUAUUGAAAACCUGAAGCAAUUUUGUUGAAAUCGUAUCUGAAGGAAACAUUUUAGGUUGUCUGUUUUAAUGGAGCUUGUCAAACCAGGUUGUUUUCUUAAAUUCAAAAGUAACUUCAUGUAAAGCAUUGAAUUAUUUGUCUGUAAAAUAAUUUUAUUUUUUUAAAUGAGGGAAUCAUGUUUUAUGCGCCAUGUAAUAUUAAACUGGACUUGCCUUUUGAUAACUGAUUUUUUUUUUAA